rnacentral:rRNA from 1 species
UACGUAGGGUGCAAGCGUUAUCCGGAAUUAUUGGGCGUAAAGAGCUCGUAGGCGGUUUGUCGCGUCUGCUGUGAAAACCCGAGGCUCAACCUCGGGCCUGCAGUGGGUACGGGCAAACUAGAGUGCGGUAGGGGAGAUUGGAAUUCCUGGUGUAGCGGUGGAAUGCGCAGAUAUCAGGAGGAACACCGAUGGCGAAGGCAGAUCUCUGGGCCGUAACUGACGCUGAGGAGCGAAAGCAUGGGGGAGCGAACAGG